rnacentral:rRNA from 1 species
CCCUAUGGGGUGCACCAGGAAAGGAUAAAGCCUCGUUUUAAAUCGCCAAAACCGAGGGUAACCGAAGCAACCAGGCUGAUGACAAUGGCAAUCUUCAGGCUCAACAUGGUGUGACCGGAAAGAAAGAGAAAAAGCAUCCAUGGGAGAAAACCCAGCAUCAGCAGUCCAAGCUCUUUAAAAUCAGGAAUGAAACUUUCAGUGUUCUUCAUAUUACUUUUCUUUGUAUAAUGAAAUGAUUUAUGAAACCGCGAUCCAUAAUAACCCGAGCUUCUCUGUUGUUCGCUUCUUCAUCCCGGGUAU